UACGAAGGGGGCUAGCGUUGCUCGGAAUUACUGGGCGUAAAGGGAGCGUAGGCGGGUUAUCAAGUUGGAGGUGAAAGCCCAGGGCUCAACCUUGGAAUUGCCUUCAAAACUGAUAGCCUAGAGUAUGAUAGAGGUAAGUGGAACUCCGAGUGUAGAGGUGAAAUUCGUAGAUAUUCGGAAGAACACCAGUGGCGAAGGCGAUUUACUGGAUCAUGACUGACGCUGAGGCUCGAAAGCGUGGGGAGCAAACAGG
rnacentral:rRNA from 1 species